rnacentral:rRNA from 1 species
UACGGGGGGGGCAAGCGUUGUUCGGAAUUACUGGGCGUAAAGGGCGCGUAGGCGCCUGCUAAGUCGGAUGUGAAAUCCCUCGGCUCAACCGAGGAACUGCAUCCGAUACUGGCGGGCUUGAAUCCGGGAGAGGGAUGUGGAAUUCCAGGUGUAGCGGUGAAAAUGCGUAGAUAUCUGGAGGAACACCGGUGGCGAAGGCGGCAUCCUGGACCGGUAUUGACGCUGAGGCGCGAAAGCUAGGGGAGCAAACGGG